rnacentral:rRNA from 1 species
AUUGAACGCUGGCGGCAGGCCUAACACAUGCAAGUCGAGCGCGAAAGUUCUUCGGAAUGAGUAAAGCGGCGGACGGGUGAGUAAUACAUGGGAAUCUGCCUGGUAGUGGGGGACAACGUCUCGAAAGGAACGCUAAUACCGCAUACGCCCUACGGGGGAAAGGGGGGGAUCUUCGGACCUCUCGCUAUCAGAUGAGCCCA